rnacentral:rRNA from 1 species
UACGUAGGGUGCGAGCGUUGUCCGGAAUUAUUGGGCGUAAAGGGCUCGUAGGCGGCCUGUUGCGUCCGCUGUGAAAGCCCGGGGCUUAACCCCGGGUCGGCAGUGGAUACGGGCAGGCUAGAGGUAGGUAGGGGAGAAUGGAAUUCCCGGUGUAGCGGUGAAAUGCGCAGAUAUCGGGAGGAACACCGGUGGCGAAGGCGGGUCUCUGGGCCGAUAUUGACGCUGAGGAGCGAAAGCGUGGGGAGCAAACAGG